rnacentral:rRNA from 1 species
AGCGAACGUUAGCGGCAGGCUUAACACAUGCAAGUCUUGCGAGAAAGGAGCCUUCGGGCUCCGAGUAGAGCGGCGGACGGGUGAGUAACACGUGGAUAAUCUGCCCUUCGGCGAGGGACAACCAUUCGAAAGGAUGGCUAAUACCGCAUACGUCUCUCGGGUCUUCGGAUCUGAGAGGGAAAGCUGGGGAUCUUCGGACCUAGCACCGAAGGAGGAGUCCGCGUCGCAUCAGCUUGUUGGUGGGGUAAUGGCCUACCAAGGCUAAGACGCGUAGCUGGUCUGAGAGGAUGAUCAGCCACACUGGGACUGAGACACGGCCCAG